CACGUAGGGUGCAAGCGUUGUCCGGAAUUAUUGGGCGUAAAGGGCGCGUAGGCGGGUUGGCAAGUCGGUCGUGAAAUCCCUCGGCUCAACCGAGGAACGUCGAUCGAUACUGCUGUUCUUGAGGAUUGCAGAGGAGACUGGAAUUCCCGGUGUAGCGGUGAAAUGUGUAGAGAUGCGGAGGAACACCGAUGGCGAAGGCAGCCCCCUGGGCUAACACUGACGCUCAGGCACGAAAGCGUGGGGAGCAAACAGG
rnacentral:rRNA from 1 species